rnacentral:lncRNA from 1 species
AGGGUAUGGGGUUGGGGAUGUAGCGCAGAGGUACAGCACAUGCCUAGCAUGUAUAAGGCCUGGUACAAAUUACAUAAACAUGCAUAUAUCUAGCAUGGGAAGUGGACAAUAAAAAUAUCUAUGAGUAUAUAAGUUUAUUUUAGGUCCAAAUGAGUGCUGAGAAGAUAGAAUAGUAUGGAAGUGACCAGAAGGCUUCAGUGGCUAGGAGGAUGGAGGAAAACUUCUGAGAAGAGACAUGAACUGAGACUCAAACAGUGACAAGACAGCCACAGGACCACUGGGAGAAGAGAGUUCCCAGCAGAGGGAACAGUAGCUGAGCUGGGAGCCAGGACUUCUGCCAGGGACAUGGGAAGUGACCACGAUGGGUGAGAGAAGGGGACAGAGUGGGACCAGAUCUUGGAACAAGAGAAUGAGAUCAAUCUUUUUUCUUAAAUCCUGGUUAUAGCCAUUUCAUUGAUUUCAAGACUCUCUCAUGGGUUGUGACCAGUGGGUUGAAAGAUGGGUCCUGUGCGAACUCAAGCCUUUCUUGAUGACCUCAUUACAGUGGUGGACUCACAGCUUCCAACACAGAAGAAAACCCAGGCAUGGGAGUCACCUGAGUGGCCAUCCUGGACCUACCAGAACUGGCUCUGCCACUGGCGCCCUGUACCAUGGCUCACUCGGUGGGUACCUCACUCUCCCUCUACUCCAGUGAGAAGCCAAGACACAGCUGGGGAGGUGAAGUGGUCUCUGUCACUUAAAGAAGGAAGACAGAAGCUUUCUCUGGGCCUCAUUUGACUCUUGGAAGGCUUGUGAGGACAGUCAACACCACACCAUAAGAUGGACCUCUGCCUGUGUUGGUCAUGCCAGUUUAAAACUAAAAGAUGAAGGUGCUGCUGGAUCCUGAAGGAACUAGAUGAACUCCCUAGGGCUGUGGAGGGUGCCCCUGGGAUGUCUACAAAUGACUGUCACAAAAGUCUUGGAAACAUGAGGAACAUACAAUCUCCUUGUCAGACCCGGAGACUGUACUAUAGCCCUGAGGUUUGCAAUUUGAAAUUAAAGUUUUUGUAGGUUGCUUUCUAGUGGAUAAAAAGUUGCACCUACAUUUUCUAAAGUGAUAUGAAUCAAAAAUGGCCAUUGCAAAAUUAAAUUAUAUGAAGGAACUAACAACUGUUAUUUGAAUAAGCUUUCUGCACAGUUUGUGCGUCUAAUUUUAAGUGUACUUGGCAGAACUGUUAAUAG